CUUCGCCACUGGUGGUCUUCCCGGGAUUAUAGGAUUUCACCCCUACCCCGGAAAUACCGUCGGCCUCUCCCGUCCCCUAGCCAAACAGUAUCCCCCGCAAUCCACCGAUUGAAUCGGUGGAUUUAACAGGGGACUUGCUUAGCAAGCUACGGAUGCUUUAGGCCCAAUAAACAUCCACACUA
rnacentral:rRNA from 1 species